AUGGCCGCCCCGACGGCCUUCGCUGCCGCCAGGUUCCUCCCGUCCGCUCACCUCGACUCCUCCGCGCGCCUCGCCCCGCUCCGGGCCGCCCCGACCUCAAACCUCGCCUUCUCGCCGCUGCCCGCCUCCUCCUCCGCGCUCCUCGCCCUCCGCUCAGCUUCCCCGUCCCCGUCCGGGCCGGGAGGGAGGCUGCCCCCGCCCCCGCCCCCGCGCUCCUACGGCGGCGGCGGCGGAGGAUCUGGCGACGCAGCGGACUCCGGGGGCGCCGGAGACGGCGCCGGCGGCCGCGCAGGCAUCCUCGGUAUGUUCCUCGCCGGGUGGGCGGCCCGCGUGGCCGCGGAUCCCCAGUUCCCGUUCAAGGUGCUCAUGGAGGAGCUGGUCGGCGUCACCGCCUGCGUGCUCGGCGACAUGUCGUCGCGCCCCAACUUCGGCCUCAACGAGCUCGACUUCGUCUUCUCCACCCUCGUCGUCGGAUCCAUCCUCAACUUCGUGCUCAUGUACAUGCUCGCCCCCACCGCCGGGGUCUCGGCCGCAGCGGCGGCCGCCGUCUCCUCCCUCCCCAGCCACAUGUUCGAGCCGGGUCCUUAUUCGCUCGGCUCCCGCUUUGCGACCCUUUUGUCCAAGGGCACUACGUUCGCGGUGGUGGGGUUCGGUGCCGGGCUCAUGGGCACCGCCAUCUCCAACGGUCUCAUCGCCAUGAGGAAGCGCAUGGACCCGGCCUUCGAGACCCCAAACAAGGCGCCUCCCACGCUGCUCAACGCAGGCACCUGGGCGCUCCACAUGGGCAUCAGCAGCAACCUGCGAUACCAGACCCUGAAUGGGGUCGAGUUCCUUCUUGGCAAUGUCAUGCCACCCCCAGUCUUCAAGGUGGCUGUGAUCGCACUUCGUUGCAUGAACAACGUGCUUGGUGGGAUGUCCUUUGUGUUGCUCGCAAGGCUCACCGGUGCGCAGAAAUCAGAUAAGCCGGCAUCUUCUGAUUCAGAAGCCAAGGAGAGAUUGAUAGCUGAGGGCGAUGCCAUUGCCGCUAAUGUUAGCACUGAGGACAAGUGA
rnacentral:rRNA from 1 species